CACUGAAUGAAGACAUGGAUGACAUCCACCACAGCAAACAGCCACGGGGGUCCUGGGGUAAUUUUCUCUUUUAUGGGGGGAGGGGUCCUCUGUGAUUUUAUUUCUGCCUGGAAUUACCAUAAAUGUGUACUCUGAGAAAAUUACAGGCAGAAUUGCCCACUGUUUUUGCUCAACUCUGUGGUCCUCAGGUAUUUUUUAUUGCCGUCUGGAUGCACAUCUGAGUUUCGACACUUUGUGUUUAGUAAAAUAGCCUUUUGUCUACUGCCAUGCACGGUAAUUACACUUUGGGCACACGAUUCCACAGAGAUCCACAUAAACACAACAGCGAGUGGAAUUGAAGGAGCUACCUAACAUGAUGUCAUGUGACAGAGAAAGUCAAAAAACUCCUGGUCCUCCUGUUUUUUCAAUGGCAGUCCGGAUGCAAGAGUUUUAUCACUGAGAAGAAGUAUGAAUAAUUUUUCACAGAUGUCCCCCUGAGAAACUAAUCCCGUCCAGAUAGGGCUUUAGAUUUGUUUUCCUCUCCUCAUGAUUGUGGUUCAGCUUUAAAGCACCAAAACUGCUUGCUUAUUGAAUUGAUUAAUAAAGAUUAUUUUAACCAACA